rnacentral:rRNA from 1 species
CCAGACUCCUACGGGAGGCAGCAGUGAGGAAUAUUGGUCAAUGGGCGAGAGCCUGAACCAGCCAAGUCGCGUGAAGGACGACGGUUCUAUGGAUUGUAAACUUCUUUUGUAGAGGAAUAACGGCAGCUACGUGUAGCUGAGAUGCAUGUACUCUACGAAUAAGUAUCGGCUAACUCCGUGCCAGCAGCCGCGGUAAUACGGAGGAUACGAGCGUUAUCCGGAAUUAUUGGGUUUAAAGGGUGCGUAGGUGGCGUAUUAAGUCAGUGGUGAAAAGCUGCAGCUCAACUGUAGUCUUGCCGUUGAAACUGAUAUGCUGGAGAGGAGACGAGGUAUGCGGAAUGUGUGGUGUAGCGGUGAAAUGCAUAGAUAUCACACAGAACGCCGAUUGCGAAGGCAGCGUACCAGGCUCCGUCUGACACUGAAGCACGAAAGCGUGGGGAUCAAACAGGAUUAGAUACCCUGGUAGUCCACGCAGUAAACGAUGAAUACUAGAUUUUUGCGAUAUAGUGUAAGAGUCUAAGCGAAAGCGAUAAGUAUUCCACCUGGGGAGUACGCCGGCAACGGUGAAACUCAAAGGAAUUGACGGGGGCCCGCACAAG